UCUACAUUCACGUGUUGACACAUGGUUGAGCUCUUCUAUCCCUCCCUGUGUAUUGUGUCUGUUUGUGUACAGAGAGCUGAAUCACUAAUGAACUGAACUCUUUCUUUCCCGAGCUUCACACACAAUCCAAAACCAUGAGACCACAAACAAUGAGUCUGAACCCAGCAGACAGAAGAAAUGUCAGGUCAGCAAACUCACGCAUGACAAAACCUCAACCAGCCAGCAAACCUGACCCAUCUGUACCCAAACAACACAUAUGAACAGGCCACAUUUAUUUUUAGAGACCCAAGCAUUAACAAUGAAGCUGGAGGCGCACUAGCGACAGACGCCUUUAGACUCCUCAUUAGUGUGCCCACCUCCCAUGCCGGAGACGCAGGUUUGAAUCCCGCUCGGAUCGAUUCCCGGGGCGGGUCGAGCAGGGCUGGUUACAGUGCUGCCAUGAGGCUUUAGCCUUUAGACUCCUCGUUAGCGUGCCCGCCUCCCAUGCUGGAGAAACCUGUUCGAAUCCCACUCGGAGCGGGUCGAGCAGGACUGGUUACAGUGGUGCCGUGACCCGGAUGGGAGUGAGGUUUAGGGGGGUGAUUGUAAUGGUAGCCAGCUGGUAGGUAGCUGUGCAGUGUUUAAAUCUCACUUCCCUAGCCUCAAGAGGCGCAUUAGCGACAGAUGCUAGAGGCUUUAGCCUAUAGACUCCUCGUUAGCAAGUCGGGUCCCGAUUGGAGCGGGUCGAGCAGGACCGGUUACACAUGCAGUAACAAAGUAACGUAGUGAUUGAUGUAUUUCAUCAUGAAAUCAGAGACCCUCCCUGGUCACAGGAGAUGCAUUUAGGCAACCAGGUAUAAAUGGUGUCUCGCCUGACCACAUGUGAUCGGAUCACCCGAGACGCAUCUUUAAUACCAGGUGUAAACGGUGUCAUAGAGAGAAGAAACUCGCUA